GGGGACUGCAGAAAACUCUGAUCAAUUCUGUGCUGCAAAGAGCUCAGAGAGACCACAGCUGGUCAGAAUGUUUUUGACGCUAUUGAUUCCUAUGUGAAAUCUCUGGGUUUAAUUUAUGAGUCAGGUGUGUAAGCCUCACAUGUUUGCAGCCAUGGUGCCCUGGGUGAGACUCACUGGUGUAGAAAACCUGCGCAUCUAACUUGGGGCCCUGGAUCUCGCCAGGCAGCAAGAAGUCAGGGAGUCUGGCACACCAAGCAGUAUGGCAAAACUGACAUCCCUUUGUGUGGCUCUAGCACUUAGUUCGGAUCCUGCAGGAGACUCCCUUGUUCCAACCUUUUAGACAACCUGGUCUCCAGAUGUAGCUGGGGGGGAAAAAAGGGAGAGAAGGCUGCUGAUGGGUGGCUCUAGGAUUUUGAAAGGGGGUGGGGGUACAGGAGAUGUGACGGGUGCCCCAGGUUGUGGAUGUAACUCCCUGCUCCCAGUGCCAGCCUCCCCUUACCUGGCUAGGUCGACAAGAUGGUGGUAGAGGUGGCAGCAGCUAGGGAUUUCUGGGUUCGCCAAAGCAGGUAAGACUCCCCUCACCCCUGGGUUUUGGCAGCCCCUCCCCUCCAGAGUUCAGCAACAUCUCCCCUCCCUCCUUGUCCCUCACUCUCCCCAGGGUGCAAGAAGGCAGAAUCUACUUGCCACUGCCCACAUCACUGGCCAAAUGCAGCACCGCAUGCAGCUGAGCACAGGACCUUCCUGCAGCUGGAGCCCCUGUGAGCAGGAAGAUAAUGUCUAGUCCCCUUGGUUUGUCAUCUGCAGCCAUCAGUGCAACAAGGAGACUUAGAAAGUUUGGGAGCUCAGUAAAUACAAGAGUGAAGAACAUUGUUCCCUUCCCAGGAUCUCUCUCUCCACAUCCCAACAUGCUUCUGUCCCUUUCCCCUGCUUCUUGCAGCCAGUUUUAGGCAGAUGCACAGAGAAGUAAGGCUGCAAGGGACCUCAAGAGAUCAUCAAUCUAACCCAUGGCCUUGGUAUUAGCACCAUGCUCUAACCAUCUGAGCUACUAACAGCCUUGUGUCUUCCUCUUUCCUUUUAUUCCUCUGCUGGGCCAGUGAGCCAGAGCUACUACUACUGGCUACCUCAAAACAUGGUCAUGGCAAGAAGUUUGCUGUGGCUCAGAGCAACUUUCAAGAGAGUUUUUCUUUUCUCUUCAUGCCAAAGAACGUCUGGGACUUCAGGUUUGGGAAGAAAGACAUCAGAUGGCAUCAUACAGGUCAUACAAUCACAUGUGAGCUGACAAGCUCAAAAUAAUUAGUUAAAAAUGGCCUGGGCCCAAACCCCUUCAUUAUGAGGCUUUGGUUAAGCCAGUGCUGCCUUUUCCUACUGCAUGGCUAUUUGCUGUUGGAGUUCCUGUACCUAUAAAGAAAGAUAACUUUAUGAGUAUCUAUCUAUCUAUCUAUCUAUCUAUCUAUCUAUCUAUCUAUGCUGCCUUUUCUUACUGCAUGGCUAUUUGCUGUUGGAAUUCUUUAACUAUAAAGAAAAAUAUAAGUUCCUGAGCCUUUGUCUGUCUGUCUGGCAUGCAUAUGUAUCUGUAUCUAUGGAUAUCUCUAUAUCUUUUUAUAUAUAGGCAUACAUACAUACGUGUGUGUGUGUGUGUGUGCAAGUAUACAUGCAUGCAUGUGUGUGUGUGUGUGUGUGUAAACUGUACCAUAUAUAAAAUAUUAAAGCAUUUCCUUUCAGAAACUCUUGAAA